rnacentral:rRNA from 1 species
UUGAACGCGAAGAACCUUACCUGGGUUUGACAUACACCGGAAAGCCGCAGAGAUGUGGCCCCUUUUAGUCGGUGUACAGGUGGUGCUAUGGCUGUCGUCAGCUCGUGUCGUGAGAUGUUGGGUUAAGUCCCGCAACGAGCGCAACCCUCGUCCUAUGUUGCCAGCGGGUCAUGCCGGGGACUCAUAGGAGACUGCCGGGGUCAACUCGGAGGAAGGUGGGGAUGACGUCAAGUCAUCAUGCCCCUUAUGUCCAGGGCUUCACGCAUGCUACAAUGGCCGGUACAAAGGGCUGCGAUGCCGCAAGGCGGAGCGAAUCCCAAAAAGCCGGUCUCAGUUCGGAUUGGGGUCUGCAACUCGACCCCAUGAAGUCGGAGUCGCAAGAAAUCGCAGAUCAGCAACGCUGCGGUGAAUACGUUCCCGGGUCCUGUACCACGCAAA